GCCCAGACUCCUACGGGAGGCAGCAGUGGGGAAUAUUGCACAAUGGGGGAAACCCUGAUGCAGCGACGCCGCGUGAGUGAAGAAGUAUUUCGGUAUGUAAAGCUCUAUCAGCAGGGAAGAAAAUGACGGUACCUGACUAAGAAGCCCCGGCUAACUACGUGCCAGCAGCCGCGGUAAUACGUAGGGGGCAAGCGUUAUCCGGAUUUACUGGGUGUAAAGGGAGCGCAGGCGGCGCGCCAAGUCUGGUGUGAAACCCCGGGGCUCAACCCCGGGACUGCAUUGGAAACUGGCGGGCUGGAGUGUCGGAGGGGCAGGCGGAAUUCCUGGUGUAGCGGUGAAAUGCGUAGAUAUCAGGAGGAACACCGGUGGCGAAGGCGGCCUGCUGGACGACAACUGACGCUGAGGCUCGAAAGCGUGGGGAGCAAACAGGAUUAGAUACCCCGGUAAAG
rnacentral:rRNA from 1 species